rnacentral:rRNA from 1 species
AUUGAACGCUGGCGGCAGGCCUAACACAUGCAAGUCGAGCGGAUGAAGGGAGCUUGCUCCUGGAUUCAGCGGCGGACGGGUGAGUAAUGCCUAGGAAUCUGCCUGCUAGUGGGGGAUAACGUCCGGAAACGGGCGCUAAUACCGCAUACUUCCUGAGUGAGAAAGUGGGGGAUCUUCGGACCUCACGCUAUCAGAUGAGCCUAGGUCGGAUUAGCUAGGUGGUGGGGUAAAGGCCUACCAAGGCGACGAUCCGUAACUGGUCUGAGAGGAUGAUCAGUCACACUGGAACUGAAACACGGUCCAGACUCCUAAGGGAGGCAGCAGUGGGGAAUAUUGGACAAUGGGCGAAAGCCUGAUCCAGCCAUGCCGAGUGUGUGAAGAAGGUCUUCGGAUUGUAAAGCACUUUAAGUUGGGAGGAAGGGCAGUAAGUUAAUACCUUGCUGUUUUGACGUUACCAACAGAAUAAGCACCGGCUAACUUCGUG